CGACAAGAAGCGGGAACAUUUAAGACACAAAGCAGCCAUCUUCUUCGACAUUCAGAGUCGGAUGUAAUUUUGCACGCUUUUCAGGAUGGCUCUGAUGUGUGGAGCAAGAGUCUUAAAUGCUUUCUGCAACGGAGAACAAGAGGAACUAUGGAACGUGGUCAUUUGAGCUUCCUUGCACUUAAAACUUUACCAUCAUUGUGAGCUCUGGUAGAAGCUCCUUGGCUUUCUAGUUCAAACAAGGCUAUCAGAUGAACUGACAAGAAAAGAAAAGGCCAUCAAGGAAUUUCUUGACUUAAAAGGAAUCGAGAUGCAUGAAAGGCCAUUACCACUGGUUGCUGGGAUUGCAAAAUUCUUCAAGAAAAACCCUGACCAUCUUUUGUACCAAAAUGAGAUUUCCAGAAGUCCUGGAGUGAGCAUCCCGUGCACCCCCUGGAUACUUGUCAUGGGAGACCAACGAUUCAAGAUAGCGGUCGAUCAAGAAAUUGUAAAUGACCACAUCAGUUCCCCCAUCGUGGCCUAUGCUUUUGCUUUAUUUUAUGUCUUGAACAUAAAAUACCCGAAGGGGAUGUCACUCACUCUGGAAUUCAUCCAAAGAGUUUUCCUGGGAAUAAAUCCUGAACGAGGGUCAAAGGCUGAGAUGAAAGGGAAAAAGCAGCCACACAUUCCACCAAGACUGCUCAAGUUCCUGACUGAACUCAACAACUUUGAAAAUCCCUGGAAAAUUUGAAAUGAAACUGGAUAUCAAAAUGGAACUCUUUGGGCUGCUUUUAGUAGCUUCUUCAAAUGGACAAAGGUUCACUUACAUACACAUGGACAGCUUCCCUGCGCUUUUCCUUUAAAACUCCAGUUUUAUCAAUAGCAAGCAUGACUAUUUGGACAACUUUUUUACAUAGAGUACAAAAUGGAAUCCAGUAAUUUUGCAGAAGCAUGCCAAUUGAUAUUGUGAAAUGCCACAGUUUGCAUUUAGGUCAAACAAAAAGAUCUUUGUUCUUAGCAAGAAAUGUUCAUAAUGAAAAAUACUGUAGCAUUUGUAUUGCAGCUUUGGUUUAGUGCUGCCAGAAAACACUUUUUUUUUUUUUUUUUAAGUUUUUGCUUGAAGUUUAAAGGGUUGUUUCCAUUUUCUAUUUUGUAU